rnacentral:lncRNA from 1 species
AUUUAUUACCAACGAUUUCUAUUUUUAUUUUUAUAUUUGGAAUUUUGAAAUGGGCCUGUCGAUAAACCGAAAUUUGAAAUACGUGUUUUUAUAUAUAGUAUAGAUAGAUAUAUAUAAUUAGGUCAGAAUACUUUUAAUAGUAUUUUUUCCCUUUUAUUAUUAAUCUUUGGAUGAAAAAUUAUUAGAUUGGGAUGAUAAAAAAAUACGAGUGAGACUACUAUGCUUCUGGAAGUACGGAGCCUUCCGUGCUUCUAGAUCGUUUUUGAUGUUGCGACUUUCGAAUCGUCGAUCGGCUCUGUUAAACUUGAUCUAGAGUAUUUGAAAUAUUUAGAAAAUAACUUUUGCAAUUUUUCAAUAUCAUUUGCCUAGAGAACUAAGGGGCUCAAAAUCAACGGCUGAAAAUAAAAAUCUUACAAAACGUGAUAAUAUGACGUUAAAAUUUUAGAUCAAAAAUAUUGAUUUUGUUUUAUAUAGUAUAAAGAAUUUUCUAUCAAAAUUUUACGUGAUUUGGAUAUUUCUACACCGUUAAACUUGCAAACGGCUCACCACGGCCAUUAAAAUUAUUGAUUUUCAGUCCCUUCGAUCAUUGGGCAAAUGAUAUCGAAAAAUCAUAAAAUUUAUUUUCUAAGUACUUCAAAUACUCUAGAUCAAGUUUAACGGAGCCGAUCGACGAUUCGAAAGUCGCAACAUUGAAAACGACCUAGAAGCACGGAAGGCUCCGUGCUUCCAGAAGCAUAGUAGCCUCACUCAAAAAAUACUCCAUACAUAUCCAAAAAAUACAAAAUAAUUAACUGACUCCAACUCCAAACAUAU